UACGGGGGGGGCAAGCGUUGUUCGGAAUUACUGGGCGUAAAGGGCGCGUAGGCGGUGCAUCAAGUCAGGCGUGAAAGCCCCGGGCUCAACCUGGGAAUGGCGAUGGAGACUGCAAGGCUAGAGUUUGGCAGAGGGGGGUAGAAUUCCACGUGUAGCAGUGAAAUGCGUAGAUAUGUGGAGGAACACCGAUGGCGAAGGCAGCCCCCUGGGUCAAAACUGACGCUCAUGCACGAAAGCGUGGGGAGCAAACAGG
rnacentral:rRNA from 1 species